UACGGAAGGCAGCAGGGGGAAGUAUUGCACAAUGGGCGCAAGCCUGAUGCAGCCAUGCCGCGUGUAUGAAGAAGGCCUUCGGGUUGUAAAGUACUUUCAGUCGUGAGGAAGGUGUUAAGGUUAAUAACCUUAGCAAUUGACGUUAGCGACAGAAGAAGCACCGGCUAACUCCGUGCCAGCAGCCGCGGUAAUACGGAGGGUGCGAGCGUUAAUCGGAAUUACUGGGCGUAAAGGGCACGCAGGCGGUUAAUUAAGUUGGAUGUGAAAUCCCCGGGCUUAACCUGGGAAUGGCAUUCAAGACUGGUUUAGCUAGAGUCUUGUAGAGGGGGGUUAGAAUUCCAUGUGUAGCGGUGAAAUGCGUAGAGAUGUGGAGGAAUACCGGUGGCGAAGGCGGCCCCUGGACAAAGACUGACGCUCAUGUGCGAAAGCUGGGGAGCAAACAGGGAUUAGAUACC
rnacentral:rRNA from 1 species